rnacentral:rRNA from 1 species
UACGAAGGGGGCUAGCGUUGUUCGGAAUUACUGGGCGUAAAGCGCGCGUAGGCGGACCAGUCAGUUAGGGGUGAAAUCCCGGGGCUCAACCCCGGAACUGCCUCUAAUACUGCUGGUCUAGAGAUCGAGAGAGGUGAGUGGAAUUCCGAGUGUAGAGGUGAAAUUCGUAGAUAUUCGGAGGAACACCAGUGGCGAAGGCGGCUCACUGGCUCGAUACUGACGCUGAGGUGCGAAAGCGUGGGGAGCAAAC